UACGGAGGGAGCUAGCGUUGUUCGGAAUUACUGGGCGUAAAGCGCACGUAGGCGGCUUUGUAAGUUAGAGGUGAAAGCCCGGGGCUCAACCCCGGAAUUGCCUUUAAGACUGCAUCGCUUGAAUCCGGGAGAGGUGAGUGGAAUUCCGGAGUGUAGAGGUGAAAUUCGUAGAUAUUCGGAAGAACACCAGUGGCGAAGGCGACACAGCUGGCCCGUUACUGACGCCUGAGGCGCGAAAGCGGUGGGGAGCAAAACAGG
rnacentral:rRNA from 1 species